AAGGUGUAGAAAAAAAGAGGUGAGUUGUUUGUUGCUGUGGUAAACAAAGAAGUGUACUGAAUCUUUUGGACUACACAGAGUGAUGUAGUAUUGACUGUGAUGCUGAUUUGAGUUGUCUCAUUCUGUAUUUUUGUGCUUUGUCUUUUGUUACACAGAGUGAAAGAGAUCUUUGGUUUUGCCUUUGCUGACUGCUGAUCUGAUCGUCUCAAGUCUGGUGACCUGCUGCAGAAAACCCUCUCCCUCUAUCGUUGACAAGCAAUUAACAAGCAAUUUCAGUCUGUCCUAUCACUCUCCCUCUCCCUGCUCCAUCUUUUUUGACAAGCCAUUCUAUCUUCUAUCAUUUCUCCGCCAUGAGCUCUAUCUAAUUUUGACAAGCUUGAACCUGUGUUGACAAGAAAUCUAAGUUUGACAAGAAAUCUAAGUUUGACAAGAAACCAAG